rnacentral:rRNA from 1 species
UACGUAGGGUGCGAGCGUUGUCCGGAAUUACUGGGCGUAAAGAGCUCGUAGGUGGUUUGUCGCGUUGUUCGUGAAAACUCACAACUCAAUUGUGGGCGUGCGGGCGAUACGGGCAGACUGGAGUACUGCAGGGGAGACUGGAAUUCCUGGUGUAGCGGUGGAAUGCGCAGAUAUCAGGAGGAACACCGGUGGCGAAGGCGGGUCUCUGGGCAGUAACUGACGCUGAGGAGCGAAAGCCAGGGGAGCAAACGGG